GCUAGGGUGGCAUAGUGGUUUGAGCAUUGGAGUUCAGUUCUGGAGACCAGGGUUCGAAUCCCCGCUCAGCC